GGGUUGUGAGGUUAAGCGACUAAGCGUACACGGUGGAUGCCCUGGCAGUCAGAGGCGAUGAAGGACGUGCUAAUCUGCGAAAAGCGUCGGUAAGGUGAUAUGAACCGUUAUAACCGGCGAUGUCCGAAUGGGGAAACCCAGUGUGAUUCGUCACACUAUCGUUAACUGAAUACAUAGGUUAACGAGGCGAACCGGGGGAACUGAAACAUCUAAGUACCCCGAGGAAAAGAAAUCAACCGAGAUUCCCCCAGUAGCGGCGAGCGAACGGGGAGCAGCCCAGAGUCUGAAUCAGCUUGUGUGUUAGUGGAACGGUCUGGAAAGUCCGACGGUACAGGGUGAUAGUCCCGUACACCAAAAUGCACAGGCUGUGAACUCGAAGAGUAGGGCGGGACACGUGGUAUCCUGUCUGAAUAUGGGGGGACCAUCCUCCAAGGCUAAAUACUCCUGACUGACCGAUAGUGAACCAGUACCGUGAGGGAAAGGCGAAAAGAACCCCGGCGAGGGGAGUGAAAAAGAACCUGAAACCGUGUACGUACAAGCAGUGGGAGCACCUUCGGGUGUGACUGCGUACCUUUUGUAUAAUGGGUCAGCGACUUAUAUUCUGUAGCAAGGUUAACCGUAUAGGGGAGCCGCAGGGAAACCGAGUCUUAACUGGGCGUUAAGUUGCAGGGUAUAGACCCGAAACCCGGUGAUCUAGCCAUGGGCAGGUUGAAGGUUGGGUAACACUAACUGGAGGACCGAACCGACUAAUGUUGAAAAAUUAGCGGAUGACUUGUGGCUGGGGGUGAAAGGCCAAUCAAACCGGGAGAUAGCUGGUUCUCCCCGAAAGCUAUUUAGGUAGCGCCUCGUGAACUCAUCUUCGGGGGUAGAGCACUGUUUCGGCUAGGGGGUCAUCCCGACUUACCAACCCGAUGCAAACUACGAAUACCGAAGAAUGUUAUCACGGGAGACACACGGCGGGUGCUAACGUCCGUCGUGAAGAGGGAAACAACCCAGACCGCCAGCUAAGGUCCCAAAGUCAUGGUUAAGUGGGAAACGAUGUGGGAAGGCACAGACAGCCAGGAUGUUGGCUUAGAAGCAGCCAUCAUUUAAAGAAAGCGUAAUAGCUCACUGGUCGAGUCGGCCUGCGCGGAAGAUGUAACGGGGCUAAACCAUGCACCGAAGCUGCGGCAGCGACACUAUGUGUUGUUGGGUAGGGGAGCGUUCUGUAAGCCUGCGAAGGUGUGCUGUGAGGCAUGCUGGAGGUAUCAGAAGUGCGAAUGCUGACAUAAGUAACGAUAAAGCGGGUGAAAAGCCCGCUCGCCGGAAGACCAAGGGUUCCUGUCCAACGUUAAUCGGGGCAGGGUGAGUCGACCCCUAAGGCGAGGCCGAAAGGCGUAGUCGAUGGGAAACAGGUUAAUAUUCCUGUACUUGGUGUUACUGCGAAGGGGGGACGGAGAAGGCUAUGUUAGCCGGGCGACGGUUGUCCCGGUUUAAGCAUGUAGGCUGAUUGUCCAGGCAAAUCCGGAUAAUCAAGGCUGAGGUGUGAUGACGAGGCACUACGGUGCUGAAGUAACAAAUGCCCUGCUUCCAGGAAAAGCCUCUAAGCAUCAGGUAACAUUAAAUCGUACCCCAAACCGACACAGGUGGUCAGGUAGAGAAUACCAAGGCGCUUGAGAGAACUCGGGUGAAGGAACUAGGCAAAAUGGUGCCGUAACUUCGGGAGAAGGCACGCUGGUGUGUAGGUGAAGUCCCUGCGGAUGGAGCUGAGACCAGUCGAAGAUACCAGCUGGCUGCAACUGUUUAUUAAAAACACAGCACUGUGCAAACACGAAAGUGGACGUAUACGGUGUGACGCCUGCCCGGUGCCGGAAGGUUAAUUGAUGGGGUUAUCCGUAAGGAGAAGCUCUUGAUCGAAGCCCCGGUAAACGGCGGCCGUAACUAUAACGGUCCUAAGGUAGCGAAAUUCCUUGUCGGGUAAGUUCCGACCUGCACGAAUGGCGUAAUGAUGGCCAGGCUGUCUCCACCCGAGACUCAGUGAAAUUGAACUCGCUGUGAAGAUGCAGUGUACCCGCGGCAAGACGGAAAGACCCCGUGAACCUUUACUAUAGCUUGACACUGAACAUUGAGCCUUGAUGUGUAGGAUAGGUGGGAGGCUUUGAAGCGUGGACGCCAGUCUGCGUGGAGCCAACCUUGAAAUACCACCCUUUAAUGUUUGAUGUUCUAACGUUGGCCCCUGACCGGGGUUGCGGACAGUGUCUGGUGGGUAGUUUGACUGGGGCGGUCUCCUCCCAAAGCGUAACGGAGGAGCACGAAGGUUAGCUAAUCCUGGUCGGACAUCAGGAGGUUAGUGCAAUGGCAUAAGCUAGCUUGACUGCGAGCGUGACGGCGCGAGCAGGUGCGAAAGCAGGUCAUAGUGAUCCGGUGGUUCUGAAUGGAAGGGCCAUCGCUCAACGGAUAAAAGGUACUCCGGGGAUAACAGGCUGAUACCGCCCAAGAGUUCAUAUCGACGGCGGUGUUUGGCACCUCGAUGUCGGCUCAUCACAUCCUGGGGCUGAAGUAGGUCCCAAGGGUAUGGCUGUUCGCCAUUUAAAGUGGUACGCGAGCUGGGUUUAGAACGUCGUGAGACAGUUCGGUCCCUAUCUGCCGUGGGCGCUGGAGAAUUGAGGGGGGCUGCUCCUAGUACGAGAGGACCGGAGUGGACGCAUCACUGGUGUUCGGGUUGUCAUGCCAAUGGCACUGCCCGGUAGCUAAAUGCGGAAGAGAUAAGUGCUGAAAGCAUCUAAGCACGAAACUUGCCCCGAGAUGAGUUCUCCCUGAGACUUUAAGUCUCCUGAAGGAACGUUAAAGACGAUGACGUUGAUAGGCCGGGUGUGUAAGCGCAGCGAUGCGUUGAGCUAACCGGUACUAAUGAACCGUGAGGCUUAACCUUACAACGCCGAAG
rnacentral:rRNA from 1 species